AUGGUUAUAUUUUCCAAUAACUAUUAUUAUAAGAAAUUAGUUAACUAUUAUUAUAAGAAAUUAGCUUUAAUUUAUAUGAUUAAUUUUGGGUUGAAGUUGCUGGAUCAAACUUCUUAUUAUUCUUUCCGGAAACUGCUAGAAUUUGUUCAGAUGGUGAUUUUAUUUGUAUCCGAAACUUCCAUAUGUAAUAAAUUUGUUCUUGUGAUUAUUUAA